AGUGAACGCUGGCGGUAGGCCUAACACAUGCAAGUCGAACGGCAGCACAGUAAGAGCUUGCUCUUACGGGUGGCGAGUGGCGGACGGGUGAGGAAUACAUCGGAAUCUACUUUUUCGUGGGGGAUAACGUAGGGAAACUUACGCUAAUACCGCAUACGACCUACGGGUGAGAGCAGGGGAUCUUCGGACCUUGCGCGAUUGAAUGAGCCGAUGUCGGAUUAGCUAGUUGGCGGGGUAAAGGCCCACCAAGGCGACGAUCCGUAGCUGGUCUGAGAGGAUGAUCAGCCACACUGGAACUGAGACACGGUCCAGACUCCUACGGGAGGCAGCAGUGGGGAAUAUUGGACAAUGGGCGCAAGCCUGAUCCAGCCAUACCGCGUGGGUGAAGAAGGCCUUCGGGUUGUAAAGCCCUUUUGUUGGGAAAGAAAAGCAGCAGGUUAAUACCCCGCGGUUCUGACGGUACCCAAAGAAUAAGCACCGGCUAACUUCGUG
rnacentral:rRNA from 1 species